GCUGACGAGUGGCGGACGGGUGAGUAAUGUCUGGGAAACUGCCUGAUGGAGGGGGAUAACUACUGGAAACGGUAGCUAAUACCGCAUAACGUCGCAAGACCAAAGAGGGGGACCUUCGGGCCUCUUGCCAUCGGAUGUGCCCAGAUGGGAUUAGCUUGUUGGUGGGGUAACGGCUCACCAAGGCGACGAUCCCUAGCUGGUCUGAGAGGAUGACCAGCCACACUGGAACUGAGACACGGUCCAGACUCCUACGGGAGGCAGCAGUGGGGAAUAUUGCACAAUGGGCGCAAGCCUGAUGCAGCCAUGCCGCGUGUAUGAAGAAGGCCUUCGGGUUGUAAAGUACUUUCAGCGGGGAGGAAGGGAGUAAAGUUAAUACCUUUACUCAUUGACGUUACCCGCAGAAGAAGCACCGGCUAACUCCGUGCCAGCAGCCGCGGUAAUACGGAGGGUGCAAGCGUUAAUCGGAAUUACUGGGCGUAAAGCGCACGCAGGCGGUUUGUUAAGUCAGAUGUGAAAUCCCCGGGCUCAACCUGGGAACUGCAUCUGAUACUGGCAAGCUUGAGUCUCGUAGAGGGGGGUAGAAUUCCAGGUGUAGCGGUGAAAUGCGUAGAGAUCUGGAGGAAUACCGGUGGCGAAGGCGGCCCCCUGGACGAAGACUGACGCUCAGGUGCGAAAGCGUGGGGAGCAAACAGGAUUAGAUACCCUGGUAGUCCACGCCGUAAACGAUGUCGACUUGGAGGUUGUGCCCUUGAGGCGUGGCUUCCGGAGCUAACGCGUUAAGUCGACCGCCUGGGGAGUACGGCCGCAAGGUUAAAACUCAAAUGAAUUGACGGGGGCCCGCACAAGCGGUGGAGCAUGUGGUUUAAUUCGAUGCAACGCGAAGAACCUUACCUGGUCUUGACAUCCACGGAAGUUUUCAGAGAUGAGAAUGUGCCUUCGGGAACCGUGAGACAGGUGCUGCAUGGCUGUCGUCAGCUCGUGUUGUGAAAUGUUGGGUUAAGUCCCGCAACGAGCGCAACCCUUAUCCUUUGUUGCCAGCGGUCCGGCCGGGAACUCAAAGGAGACUGCCAGUGAUAAACUGGAGGAAGGUGGGGAUGACGUCAAGUCAUCAUGGCCCUUACGACCAGGGCUACACACGUGCUACAAUGGCGCAUACAAAGAGAAGCGACCUCGCGAGAGCAAGCGGACCUCAUAAAGUGCGUCGUAGUCCGGAUUGGAGUCUGCAACUCGACUCCAUGAAGUCGGAAUCGCUAGUAAUCGUGGAUCAGAAUGCCACGGUGAAUACGUUCCCGGGCCUUGUACACACCGCCCGUCACACCAUGGGAGUGGGUUGCAAAAGAAGUAGGUAGCUUAACCUUCGGGAGGGCGCUUACCACUUUGUGAUUCAUGACUGGGGUGAAGUCGUAACAAGGUAACCGUAGGGGAACCUGCGGUUGGAUCACCUCCUUACCUUAAAGAAGC
rnacentral:rRNA from 1 species